rnacentral:rRNA from 1 species
GAGCGCCGUAGCAAUACGGAGCGGCAGACGGGAGAGUACACGUGGGAACGUGCCCUUCAGUUCGGAACAACCCAGGGAAACUUGGACUAAUACCGGAUACGUCCGUAAGGAGAAAGAUUUAUCGCUGAAGGAUCGGCCCGCGUCUGAUUAGCUAGUUGGUGAGGUAACGGCUCACCAAGGCGACGAUCAGUAGCUGGUCUGAGAGGAUGAUCAGCCUCACUGGGACUGAGACACGGCCCAUACUCCUACGGGAGGCAGCAGUGGGGAAUAUUGGACAAUGGGCGCAAGCCUGAUCCAGCCAUGCCGCGUGGAUGAUGAAGGCCCUAGGGUUGUAAAGUCCUUUCGGCGGGGAAGAUAAUGACGGUACCCGCAGAAGAAGCCCCGGCUAACUUCGUGCCAGCAGCCGCGGUAAU